GCUGGACACAGUGGCGCGUGCCUGUAGUCCCAGCUUCUCGGGAGGCUGAGGUGGGAGGAUCGCGUGAGCCCAGGAGUUCUGGGCUGUAGUGCCCUAUGCCGAUCGGGUGUCCACACUAAGUUCGGCAUCAAUAUGGUGACCUCCCGGGAGCGGGGGACCACCACGUUGCCUAAGGAGAGGUGAACCAGCCCAGGUGGGAUUACAGGCUUUUGGCACCGCACCCCGCUUUUUUUUUUUUUUUUUUUUUUUUUUGAGACGGGGUCUCACCAUGUUUCCCAGGUUGGAGUACAGUGGCGUGAUCUUGGCUCA
rnacentral:sRNA from 1 species